AGACAAUAACAGAGAACAACCGUGGCUAAACUGCACGCAACUACCCCCGCCACACACCUCGGACAAGGGGAGGGGGUUACGUCGCCUGAAAUAAAUUGCAUCAGACGAGCCCCAAGACCUAACUUGGAGAAGAGGCGGCAGGGUGAACAGAGGGAAGAAGAUGAUGUGAAAAGCCACGAGCGUUUUUUGUGCUUCGAAAUAGGGUUGCUAUAAGCCCGAGACCAGAGGAGUGGCCUACGUGUAAAUAAUGUUUACAGCGGGCGUCAACGAGCUGGUGCUGGUGGUUUUCAUUGAGACGGAAUGCUGGAUGUUUUGGAAGUCUUUGGAGGAAGCUUAGCACUGCAAGGAUGACUGAGGUAUGGUAAUUGCAGUGACCAGAUUUGCCAGGACAUCUCUUUUCCAUUCACCCCCUGCUUUUUGAGCGUACAACUGAGAAGAGGAAAACGAAACAAUGGAAAGAUAUAUAUGUUUCCAUAUAUUACAUCUCUGCAGGAAGACAAACUACUUCAGAUGGAGAAAAAGUGUGUCUUAAAUGAGGUUUUCUCUAACACCAAGGUAGCUAAUUCAAACUCAAAUCCAGGCUAGGACAAGAGAGUUGGUAUUUUCCACAUAAAUUAGUUGGGUACUUUUAUACUGAAAACUCCUCCAAGAACUGGGAAACUGAAUUGACCUUUCCUUGGAUGCAGGGAGAAGAAUCUGCCAGCAAACUACAAGGACUACAAUUGUUCAUUGCUUUUGCCCUGUACACGCUCCCACACGCUCUCCUGAAGAUCAGAGGCAGCUUUUGCCAAAGGAGUGGGGGUGAGUUGGGCAUGCCUCGCCACGGUCUUUACAGACUUUCCAAGAUAACCUACCUAAGGGCUGGCUGCACAGCAGUGUGUCAUUUGGAUCUCCCACAGCAGCUCCAAUGGACAACUGUAUAGAGGAAGUUUGUGUCAGGGCAACAACUGAAUGUUUUAGAAGUGAUCAGGAACAACUACACUUGAGGAAAAUUCCAGAUUAUUUCUUUAGCUCUAGUCCUAUUAUUUACCAUUUGUGAGGGAUACCCAGGCUCCCAUAAAGAGUGCUAUAGAGCCACAUACUUAGAAAAAGUGAGAGGAAAUCGUAUGCAUACAGAAUACAUAGAUAUGGACAAACAUCUCCAAGAAUUCUUUAAAAAGAUGCUCAAACUACCAGGUACAAUAAAACAAUCUUAUAACCUGGAAAUAUCAUACAAAUAUUUUAACUACUUCAGAAAAAAAAGAGACGACUGCUGAAGUGUCAGGAUUACUAAGUACUUACUGCAAACACCACUGAUAAUUAAACCACUUUUUUUUUUUCUAUAUUUAUCCAUUUAAUAAUGCAAAUGUCUUUCUGCAACCAGUUGAAUUCCAGCUGUACUUGCUCCAUCCUGAAGGGCAAAGCUGUCAGCACACAUGGCUCUACAACACAGUGCAAUGGGCACGUUUCAUCUCUGGGGCAAGAUGUGGCAAAUCUCAAGGGAGCAUUUCAUCCCAGCUGCACUGCGGAGUUCACCUCAUGCUCUCAUACAGAAAAUAUCCUGGAGUUCGGUGGUGUGGCAAGGGGUCAGUGGCUCAGCUAUUUGAUUAACAUAAUGGCUAGUGUCUUCCAUGGAGAAGAGAUUGUACCUGAGAGGAUAUAAGCAAUAUCAACUCUGAAAUUACCCUUCCAGCCUUGCUUGUGCAAGAGGGAAGUUUCUCCUGCGUUGCAUUAUCUGAAAGCCAGCAACCCAGUUGCACAGGCCGCUGAGGUUCCAUUGAUUAUUUUAAAAGGCUCCAUGAAAGGUAAUUAUGAAAAGAUUUGUUACAGGAGAGAAAUUUUUAGGGAUCUGCAAAAUGAAAAAAAAAAAGGCUGAAAAUCACAGGUUUAGGGUGCUGCCUUCUUCCUUCCUUCCUUGAAGCCUCUGCUGGCAAGGUACGGAAAUUCUUUCAGUUAUCUCCAAAAAUGACAGAAGAUGAAGGCACUCAGCACCCUGUACAAUCAGGUACUUAAUGUCCUUACCCUCCCUGGGGCUCUGCCACUGACAGCAAAUGAACUAAUAGCUCCUGCUGCUCCCACCAGCCUGGUUCUCUGUGUCAUCCACCUACACACACUCACACAUUCAUUCUUUCCCUCAUCAUUUAUUAAUUCAAUUUAUUUAUUUAUGUAGGUUAUUUUCAGUAGUAUUUUUACAAAUAAUGGUGGAAAUGAAAAGAGCAAGAGAAACACAGUUAGGGAGAGAGCUGGUGGCAGAGAGGGAAUGGCAGGGGAAACUCUACUCCCCUGAGAACAAGAUGUACACUGGAGGAUCAUUCCAGAUUUUCAACUCAGGCAGAGCCUGGGCAAACUCCAAGUGACAUCAGCUUCACCAACCUUGCUCAACACUGACUUCAAACAGCCGAUUUACCUGGUGCUCAUGCUCUGCUUUCUGGACUAACAUGGUCUUUCUGAUUGUACUUGAGGCCUUUUAGAGCUCUCAAAAGACUACUUCUGCAUUUAAAGACCAUUAUUUUGGUUUUCAUGGCAUUUAGUCAUUAACUGUGUUUUAAAGCUUUAAUCCACAAGGGUCUUUGCUGUAAAGAAUAGGCAUAUUUACAUUGCCUAAACUAUGUGUCUAAAUGAGAUUACUUCCCUUUAUUUCCUUUUUAACCAUCCUCUAAGUAAACUCCGUUUUCUACAUUGACUCCA